rnacentral:lncRNA from 1 species
GGACGGGUUUCUCCUGCUCCUUCGCCUAGGACUACAGUGAGUUUCUUCUAAAGCCUCUAGUUUUGGAAUAAGAAGGACACUCAAGAGUUACCUAGCUCAGUUCUCACGGCUACAUAAAAUCCGGCACGGUGGCUGUGAUGGCUUGAAUAAGAAUGGCCCCCACCGGCUCCUAUACUUGAAUGUCUGGUUCCCAGUAGGUGAGCUGUACCUCGUUGCCUUCUGCAACGUGUGGAUAAGAUGUGGGCCAUCGGUUACUGCUCCCGAGCCAUGCUGCCUGCUGUAGGGGGAAAGGACUAACCCUCUGAAACGGUAAGCAAGCUCCCAAUCAAAUGCCUUCUCUUCUAAGUUGCCUGGCUGUGGUGUCUCUUCACAGCAAAGGAACAGUAAGUGUGUGAACGUCUAUAAUCCCAGGAGGAUAAUAAACUCAAGGUCACCCUCCGCUUGAGGCCUGCCUAAGCUACAUGAGACCAUGUCUCAAAAGUAAAUAGCAUCAGUAAUGACGAAGGUAGAUGGCAUGUCUCGAUGUGAUGACAGAGCCAUG